UCUAAUCCUGUGCAAUGAACCGAGGUUC
rnacentral:piRNA from 1 species